GAUGAACGCUAGCGGCAGGCCUAACACAUGCAAGUCGAGGGGUAACAGGGAGCUUGCUCCGCUGACGACCGGCGCACGGGUGCGUAACGCGUAUACAAUCUACCUUUUGCUACGGGAUAGCCCAGAGAAAUUUGGAUUAAUACCGCAUAGUAUAUUGAGAUCGCAUGGUUUUAAUAUUAAAGGUUACGGCAGAAGAUGAGUAUGCGUUCUAUUAGCUAGAUGGUGUGGUAACGGCAUACCAUGGCAACGAUAGAUAGGGGCCCUGAGAGGGGGAUCCCCCACACUGGUACUGAGACACGGACCAGACUCCUACGGGAGGCAGCAGUGAGGAAUAUUGGACAAUGGGCGAGAGCCUGAUCCAGCCAUGCCGCGUGCAGGAAGACGGCCCUAUGGGUUGUAAACUGCUUUUAUACAGGAAGAAACACCUCUACGUGUAGAGGCUUGACGGUAC
rnacentral:rRNA from 1 species